rnacentral:lncRNA from 1 species
GCAACAUUUAAUCUCCAGCGCCAAGUUGCUAGGACAUCUUAGACUAUUGGGUUCUGCUCAGGCAUAAUUCCAUCAUUACCAUUGAUUUGUUCGCUCACGCUCCCCAUGGUGCUUUUAAUCAGCUCUCCAUCUUUGUGCCUUCACACCUUUACGCUUUUCAUGAUUGGCUCUGCUACCUUCUGCCUCUGCAAUGAAAUAGUGCCGUAGAAAUCCUUCUGCAUCUUACACACUUUAACAAUUCCAUUUCUUCUCUCUCUGGUCCAGUGAAGGGAUGUCCCUUUCCCACAAAGGCACCACUGUCUCUACAAAGCUCUCUGCAUUGUAUACAGAAGAUAAAACUAACACACUGGUAAAGGAAAAGCAAUUUCCAGAUGGAUUUACCCCAAGAUGUUAAUGUUGUGCUGGUUUUAACGCUGAUUGAAGCAAGGUAGCAAGUGGUUAUUACAGACCUGACAUGCCUGUUCUGCCAAGAAACAGCGUGAGCUUUCACCUCAGAAAACAAGGUAAACUUUGUUGUUUAAUCAAUCUGCUGUGUGUGCAUGCUCACAACAGAGAUGACUAUUAAUUUAUGAAUUAGCCUAUUCCUGUUUUUCUUAGCCAAGGCCUGGUUUGGUAAGAGUGGAAAAAAGGUUCAAUCCAAAGAGUAUUUUUUUUUUAAUUCUGAGAAACAAAAGACACAGUCUGUGGUGGGUUUUUUUUGUUUUUUGUUUUUUUAAGAAACGAUCUGUUGGCGUUAUGCCCCCUGGUUUUCCCUUUUUCCCUUGAGCGCUCGGGGGAGGCUUCCAAACAGCCCCCGACCCUGCUGCAGCCGCUGCCCUUAUACGCCCUGAACUGGGAGACCAGCGCCUGUGGGCUCCCUAACCUGCGGAGCUGCUGCUGAAAGGGUGAAGGUUGGGGGCCGUUUUGACCAUUUUGAGUGAUCUGCUGGGAAGUAAAGUCUGCCAUAUGCCUCUUCCUGCCUCUGCGUCCUGGCUUAAACCAUAACUGAUAAGAAACCCCUCGUCCAUCUACAGUCCUCUCUGCGUCACUUGC